ACAUGCAUGCUGUGGCAUGUUUCCUUUCCCACAUCAUAAUCACACAAUAAUAAUAAUAAUAAUAAUAAUAACAACAACAAUAAUAACAAUAACAACAACAACAAGCCAGGACAUUCAUUGUAAGGCAAGAACAUAUAAACAGCUGAGGAAUCUGCAGGGGAGCAUGGUGGGUCCCACAGCUCCUGCUCCUUGGAGUCUGCUGCAUGGCCACUGCAUACCUAGGCUCGUUUUAACCUCUUUAUACACAUUCACAGCACGCAGCAGCAUUGGGCUUGUUCAAACAGUGCCACUCACUGUUAAUGCUAUGGACUAUAUCUUUAUCUCACCCAAAUUCAUGGUUUGAAAGUAUGAUGUCAAGUGUGGAGACUUUGGAAGUUCAAUGGUCACCAUGUCAGAGCCAUUGUAGUUAGGGUUGCCCUGAUGAAAGAAGUCCCAAGUUGUGUGUGGUGAACCAUGCAUGCACUUGCAGGCUAGUACAUUUGAGGCCGACUGGGGCUACAUAGUGAAUUUGGAGCCAGCUGGGGUUACUUAGGGAGUUGUUAUCCAACAAACAGAGAGAGAGAGAGAGAGAGAGAGAGGUUCAAAAAGACCAAAGACACUGAAUUCUCUGGUGAGGAGGGCGCCUCAGGCUUCCCACCCCGAGGGCGUUGGGCUAGACAGAAGCAGCCAAUUGCACUUAGGUCUCCUCUUCCUCUAUGGCUUUGAUAAGUCACUAGGAUUCUUUAAGUACCGAAUAGGAACACAAUGUGCAUUUGCAAUUCAGAGUCCAGGGAUUCACGAAGAUCUUAGUUCUGCUUGCACUCAUGUGGUGCACAGACAUACAUGCAGAUCUCACCAGUUCUUUUGUGGCCGGUGGUAGAUAUUGCUGCCGUUUUGGCGACUAUUUUAAGGCAGAGUGCCUUCUGCCAGGGAGCGUAUCAUCCAGCUGCGGAAGGAAGAUUCCUCCAACUCAAAAGAGAAUGUCCAGCUGGGAGGUGACAUAUCCCAGCACUCAGAAGUAGAGAGAGGGGAUCUCUGUGAGUUUGAGGCCAGCCGGGUCUACAUAGGGAGCUCUAGGUCAGCCAGAGAAAAAUGAUGAGAUCCUGUCUCAAAUAAAAUAAAAUAAAAUGUAAAGUAAAAUGACCAAAAGAGAAUUUCCAUGACACAUUGAAACUCGCUGCUUUGUAGGCUAACUUUAAUAGGAAG
rnacentral:lncRNA from 1 species